rnacentral:sRNA from 1 species
GCUGAGUGUGAUGGUUCAUGCCUGUAAUCCCAGCGACUUGGGAGGCAGAGGCAGGAGGAUCACAAGUUUGAAGCCAGCCUUUGCAACUUAGUGAGACCCUGCCUCAG